rnacentral:rRNA from 1 species
UACAGAGGGUGCAAGCGUUGUUCGGAAUUACUGGGCGUAAAGCGCGUGUAGGUGGCGAAGUAAGUCGGAUGUGAAAUCUCCGAGCUCAACUCGGAAAUGGCAUUGGAAACUACUUUGCUCGAGGGUCGGAGGGGGGACUGGAAUUCUCGGUGUAGCAGUGAAAUGCGUAGAUAUCGAGAGGAACACCAGUGGCGAAGGCGAGUCCCUGGACGACUCCUGACACUGAGGCACGAAAGCUAGGGGAGCAAACAGG